GUUAAGUGAGUCGCUGAAGGGAACAGACAUAUUUUUCACGUAGUUGGCUCAGGACUUCAAACCAUUUACCUUUCAGUUACUGGCCUUGUCUUCCUCACUCCUUGCAUCCUCUCUCCACGACUCUUCAACAUUCAUUCAAGGUGAAUGUGAAUUCUGACAUGGCAUGUAGUACUGACAACAUGUUUCUCAUUGGCCUCUUUAUGUCAGGUGUUUUGGCCUGUUUUGGCCAAAGACAUUUGAUCACCACAAUGCCAGAGAAAUUGGAUGUACUGAGUGGCUCCUGUGUUCAAAUCCCAUGUGCAUUUGAUGUUCCUCAAGAUUGCUCUACAUUUAACAGCACAGUAAUUACCUCCGGAGUGUGGAUUAAAGAAUCACCGUACUUUGGUGGCAGGCAGAACAUUGUGAUA